UCUCCGUUGGUGAACCAGCGGAGGGAUCAUUAAAGAGUUGCAAAACUCCAACCCCUGUGAACCUUACCUGUACGUUGCUUCGGCGGCCGACGCCACGCCCAGCCGGGCCUGGGGGACGCCGCCGGAGGUCUAAACUCUUACCAUUUUGUACGUCUGAGGAAAAAACAAUAAUCAAAACUUUCAACAACGGAUCUCUUGGUUCUG
rnacentral:misc_RNA from 1 species